rnacentral:rRNA from 1 species
AGUGUUAUACAUGAAACUUAAAUUUAUUGGCGGCUUUAUAAAUUUUUUAGAGGAAUUUAUUCUAUUAAGGAUAAAACACCAAAAUCUUACUUUAAAUUGUACUUACAGUUUGUUUACCGCUAUUUAACUAUAUGUAAGUUUAUUUUUUUUUCUAGAGUUAGUGAUGUUUUAGGUUAAGGUUCAGCUUAUUUUAAAGAUUGAAAUAAAUUAUAUGAAUUAUUAUUUAACUAUAAUUUCUUUUUAAUAAGAGAUUAAAGAAAAAUUUAAAAGUAAUAUUUGCUAAUUAGG